GUUCUGAAGGACAAGAAGAGUUUGAAUGAGAAAUGACUUUGAGGGUCUGAAGUGAACAGGACACACUCGGUGCUGCACAGCCUUACAGACCUGCACACAACUGGCCUCUCUGAAAAGCUGAUUUUAGCAGACGGAAAACUUCUCAACACAUUCAGUCCAAAGGAAACUUCCUGAAAAUGGCCUCAGAACCAAGAAAAAGAAGAAGAAGAAGAAGAAGAAGAAGAAGAAGAAGGCAGAGCAAAGAAAUCCCUUAUAAUUUUUCUUUCCUUAGAGAGUUUGACUGCAGAGAACGCAGGAUGAGAGAGAUUGUAGCAGAGUUUCAGUUGACUGCUAAGGAAGUAAGAAAGAUGCAGGAGACAACAGAAAAUGUCAGAACAGGUGGAACUAUUGCAUGGAUAGUGGCUCUCCAAGUCGGGAUCGCUUUAGUGUUGUUCUUGUCUUGGGCGUUGAGCUUUUUAGCAGCAGAUAUUGGAGCAACUGGAAUAACUCUAGCAGUAAUAACAACAACGAUAGCUGCUGCUGUCGUUCUUAGUGCAAACAAUAAAAAAAUACUGAAACAGUACGUAAGUGCAAAGAAAGUAGAAGCACUAAGGAGAGAGUUCAGUGAGAUUGUUGAACUGCUGAAGGACAGCCUGAAAGAAACAAAGACGGCGUGUAAAAAGUUGGAAAAAAACUCAGCUGAAGAUCAGGCUGAAAACACUCUUUCAGACAUUGAGGAGCUUCAGAGGAUUCUUACAAGAAUUUCUAACCGGCAAAGAAGUGAAGUUUUGGAUGUGAGAUUGAUGCUGGUGAAGAUGAUAACAGAUCACCCGUUCUUCAGAGCCACUACAACACCUGAAGGCGACAGAGGGUUAACACACACCAUCAUCCUGUCAGCUGAUUUCUGUCAGAAGGGCAUUGAUCAGUUUGUGAAGAUGAAGAAAGAACUCGGGAUAUUGUAAAUUCAGCUGUUUGGGGAUCCUCUCCUGAGAUUUAGAUGCAUCUCAUAUUUCCAAGAACUGAAUAAAGACAGACCCAAAAGAGGGUAAGGACAUACAAAAGGAUGUAAAAAUGAUAAUAGUAAAUAAUGAUAUGAAAGAGAAAGAGGACUGCUCAAAGCUUUGUUUGCACUUUUCUAAAAGUUGCAUUUUGUAUUUAUUUUGAGAAGAAACCUGGUACUUUCUUUUUCUCUUCAAUGUAGGCCUCAAGGUAAUUGUGCUAGCUAUAGGACAUAUUUUAUCAAUGGAAUAAACAACAAAAGGAAAUUUUAGUUACUGGACCCCUUUGAAUUUUAAUCGAAUAACUCUAACUAUGUUUAUCUGAAGACAUUUCUUCUUUGGAAGUUUGGAUUUUUUUUUCAUGACACAUUCUUUGCAAGUGAACCUGUUUAAAUGAUAAACUGCACUACAUGUGAUUGUUUUAUAUCGUGCUACAAGUUUUUGUCUUGUGCUACGAGAUUAACAACCUAGUAGUACCAAUGCUCUGGGCAAAGUACAUGUACAGCCCUGCCAUUUAAGAAAAUGUUUUAUCUUAUUUUAAAACACUUUUUAAAUGAUAUUUGCAUCUAAUAGCCUAUUUUUGACCUAAUUUUACCAAGUGCUUGUGUGUCAAAGCCCCAUGAAUGAAACUAAACCCCAAAACUAUGAUUGCAGAAAUUUUAAAAUAUUGCAAGAAAACUGCUGCUGUGCAAAUAAAGGCUUUACAGAACAUCAGUGUCAUAAAUAAAGGAGUGGUAUGAUCUGCACAUUCUUUUCAAAUGAGAAUUGUAUUGACCUUUCAACCAAGGCCCUUAAAUCAUAAAACACUUAAUUAAGCAAAAUAAAUCUUCCAUUACAGACUAAUUAAAACGGCUGCCCUCAAACUGAAAUCCUUGCAAUGCAUUGAAUACCAUUCAAUGUGGUUUAAAUCUAAAGUGAAUGGCUUUUUUUCAGCUCAUGAAUUGUUGUACUGUGCAAAUUCAGGUCAAAUUGUUUUGAAAUUGGCACCCUAAAUGUGUAAUGCAGACCGCAAACUUCAAAGGUAAAUGUCUAUUCUAACACUGAUUUAUUUGAAGAAGGUCCACAUGGCCCACAUAUGUCAAGAACAAACGCUCUCCAAAUGCAAAAUGACAGGACAAAUAUUUUUCUUGGUCUUUCACCCCUCGCUGUGCUCGUUUGGAGUCCCCCAAAGAGUUUUUUGGUUUUAAAGUCAGGAACAAAAAAAAGAAAAUAAGAUCAGUGAAUUAUUUCUGGGCUACAGUACCUGUGUCUGUAAAACCUGCAGCAAAAGAUCAAAUUCACCAAAAUGUUAACAUGAUAAACAAUUCUAUACACUUCAAAGGUCAUUUUUUAGGGGAUCAAGGGGAGUAUUUAGGUUGAGCCGAAUCAAAAGCUUUUCAACUUAUCUGGACAUGAUGAAGUCUGAGUAUGUGCAGCUUGUUUCAUGUUGGGCCAGGAAAUGCUUCAUUUAAAUUGGUGUAUUUGUAGCAGAGCGGGAUCAGUGUCUGAUCUUUUCAAAGUGACAAGAAGAAACAAAGCAGACCAAAGAAUACUUGGCCCUGUCAAAAAUGCCCAUGAAGAUGUAACAAUCUAAAAUUACACUUGUUACUGUCAAGAGGAACACUUGGUGCUCGUGUUUACUUCAAGUACCGAAGUGUGCAGUGGAUAAGCGGCUCGUAGCAGCUGUGGGUGACGUCCAGUGAAACGCACAGAAACUUUGCAGAUGAAAGAAGCCAUCUUCAAAGCAUUUUGGUGAACAAACCCAACAGCAUGAAUUUGAAGUGGUGAUGUGUUGAGAUGUGAGGGCUGUCAACAUAGAUUAGUAAAACAGCCAAGGAUUAAAUGCACUGUUGAGCUCUGCAAGUACAUCAUACACAAUAUCGGAGAUGCAGUAAAAUGUCACAUGAAGCAUGCAAGGCAAGAUGCACUUUAUAUUCUUAAAAAUGGGUACUCCCAAUAUCAUAAAAUGACCAUUGCUGGUAUUUAAUAAAUGUAAUGUGUAUUGAUUAUUGUGCAUUUAAAAUAGCACUUUAUAUUUACUGUGCAAUCGGGCAAUCUGCAAUAUAAUUACGCACCUAACACUUUAACACUUAAGCACUCUGCACUUUAAUCAACCCUUUGAUAUAAUAAACAUAGCGUUUAACACUAGUGAAAUACGUUUGGUCCCCUGACCCCUGACCCCUGGCCUGGAUGUUCCAUGAUCCACUAUACUUUUCAUUGUUCUUGCUUCUCUUUUUCUCUUCUGUUCUAUUGUGCUCAAGGACACGUUUUCUCUCCUCCUGCUCAUUCUGGCCAUGAAGGCCAACUGCCAACUUGUUAUCGAUGUUUUAUUGUUAUGGUUAUGGUAUUGACAUCAACCUGCCAAAGGGACUAAAGAUGGAAAUUAGCUGUUGGCUAUAAUCUUGCAUAUUUACAUGUAUAUGUUCAUUAAUAUGUAUUGUCCCUGUUUUAAGUAAAUAAACUCAAACUCAAUGAAGCAAACAGUUAGUUUCCAUUAAUAUGCGUAUUUCAGGGGUGCUUUGAGCCAGAUGCUAAUAUUGUACAGCUUUUGUCCCACAGGGACCGCCAAAGUCAACACAGAAUUCAAGUUCUCAUAGUUUCUUCUUCUUCUUGUCUUUCAACAAGGUGAAAGGUGCUAUACAAAUACAUUUGCCUUGCUUUGCCUUACACUUCAGCCUGAGAGUAGCCAUACUUGUACAAAACUUCUAUGCAAUACAUCAAAUAGUUGUCAUUUUACUAUAAAACAGUGUUUUAUAGUCUCCAACCUAAACGACAGAAUAGACAGUUUGUCAAUACCACCCGUAAGACACAUAUAAGCGUUUCGCAGUUCAGCGGAGCAUUCUAAAAAUAGCACCCAUGUACAGUUUGCAUUGAAUUUAGGCCACAAAACCACUGACCUAAGUUUAGGUAAAUAAAAACCUGGUUAGGCGUUUAAAAGGAGUUUAAAAAGCUGUACAAACAUGGUACAUGGUUUUCACAAGGUACAGGGAGGAAGAAGGGCUUUAACGAUCGGGUGUUUUCAUAAAUGAUUUAUUUAUUUGUUUAUUUAAUCUAUUUCCUUUCUUUUUUUGUA